rnacentral:rRNA from 1 species
AUUGAACGCUGGCGGCAUGCCUUACACAUGCAAGUCGAACGGCAGCACGGGGCAACCUGGUGGCGAGUGGCGAACGGGUGAGUAAUGCAUCGGAACGUACCUUUCAGUGGGGGAUAACGUAGCGAAAGUUACGCUAAUACCGCACAUUCUGUGAGCAGGAAAGCAGGGGAUCGCAAGACCUUGCGCUGAUUGAGCGGCCGAUGUCAGAUUAGCUAGUUGGUGAGGUAAAGGCUCACCAAGGCGACGAUCUGUAGCGGGUCUGAGAGGAUGGUCCGCCACACUGGAACUGAGACACGGUCCAGACUCCUACGGGAGGCAGCAGUGGGGAAUUUUGGACAAUGGGGGCAACCCUGACCCAGCCAUGCCGCGUGAGUGAAGAAGGCCUUCGGGUUGUAAAGCUCUUUCGGCCGGGAAGAAAUCGCACGGGCUAAUACCCUGUGUGGAUGACGGUACCGGAAUAAGAAGCACCGGCUAACUACGUGCCAGCCGCCGCCGUAAAAC